GUCGUCAGCUCGUGUCGUGAGAUGUUGGGUUAAGUCCCGCAACGAGCGCACCCUCGCCCUUACGUUGCCAGCAUUAGUUGGGCACUCUAAGGGGACUGCCGGUGAUAAGCCGAGAGGAAGGUGGGGAUGACGUCAAGUCCUCCAUGGCCCUUACGGGCUGGGCUACACACGUGCUACAAUGGUGGUGACAGUGGGCAGCGAGCACGCGAGUGUGAGCUAAUCUCCAAAAGCCAUCUCAGUUCGGAUUGCACUCUGCAACUCGAGUGCAUGAAGUUGGAAUCGCUAGUAAUCGCGGAUCAGCAUGCCGCGGUGAAUACGUUCCCGGGCCUU
rnacentral:rRNA from 1 species